rnacentral:rRNA from 1 species
UACAGAGGUCCCAAGCGUUGUUCGGAUUCACUGGGCGUAAAGGGUGCGUAGGCGGUCGGGUAAGUCUGAUGUGAAAUCUCACAGCUUAACUGUGAAACUGCAUUGGAUACUAUUCGGCUUGAGAGUUGGAGGGGGGACUGGAAUUCUUGGUGUAGCAGUGAAAUGCGUAGAUAUCAAGAGGAACACCAGUGGCGAAGGCGAGUCUCUGGACGACUCCUGACACUGAGGCACGAAAGCUAGGGGAGCAAACAGG